rnacentral:rRNA from 1 species
UCGAACGCUGGCGGCGUGCUUACACAUGCAAGUCGAACGGAAAGGCCCUGCUUUUGUGGGGUGCUCGAGUGGCGAACGGGUGAGUAACACGUGAGUAACCUGCCCUUGACUUUGGGAUAACUUCAGGAAACUGGGGCUAAUACCGGAUAGGAGCUCCUGCUGCAUGGUGGGGGUUGGAAAGUUUCGGCGGUUGGGGAUGGACUCGCGGCUUAUCAGCUUGUUGGUGGGGUAGUGGCUUACCAAGGCUUUGACGGGUAGCCGGCCUGAGAGGGUGACCGGCCACAUUGGGACUGAGAUACGGCCCAGACUCCUACGGGAGGCAGCAGUGGGGAAUAUUGCACAAUGGGCGGAAGCCUGAUGCAGCAACGCCGCGUGCGGGAUGACGGCCUUCGGGUUGUAAACCGCUUUCGCCUGUGACGAAGCGUGAGUGACGGUAAUGGGUAAAGAAGCACCGGCUAACUACGUGCCAGCAGCCGCGGUGAUACGUAGGGUGCGAGCGUUGUCCGGAUUUAUUGGGCGUAAAGGGCUCGUAGGUGGUUGAUCGCGUCGGAAGUGUAAUCUUGGGGCUUAACCCUGAGCGUGCUUUCGAUACGGGUUGACUUGAGGAAGGUAGGGGAGAAUGGAAUUCCUGGUGGAGCGGUGGAAUGCGCAGAUAUCAGGAGGAACACCAGUGGCGAAGGCGGUUCUCUGGGCCUUUCCUGACGCUGAGGAGCGAAAGCGUGGGGAGCGAACAGGCUUAGAUACCCUGGUAGUCCACGCUGUAAACGGUGGGUACUAGGUGUGGGGUCCAUUCCACGGGUUCCGUGCCGUAGCUAACGCUUUAAGUACCCCGCCUGGGGAGUACGGCCGCAAGGCUAAAACUCAAAGGAAUUGACGGGGCCCCGCACAAGCGGCGGAGCAUGCGGAUUAAUUCGAUGCAACGCGUAGAACCUUACCUGGGUUUGACAUGGAUCGGGAGUGCUCAGAGAUGGGUGUGCCUCUUUUGGGGUCGGUUCACAGGUGGUGCAUGGCUGUCGUCAGCUCGUGUCGUGAGAUGUUGGGUUAAGUCCCGCAACGAGCGCAACCCUUGUUCACUGUUGCCAGCACGUUAUGGUGGGGACUCAGUGGAGACCGCCGGGGUCAACUCGGAGGAAGGUGGGGAUGACGUCAAGUCAUCAUGCCCCUUAUGUCCAGGGCUUCACGCAUGCUACAAUGGCUGGUACAGAGAGUGGCGAGCCUGUGAGGGUGAGCGAAUCUCGGAAAGCCGGUCUCAGUUCGGAUUGGGGUCUGCAACUCGACCUCAUGAAGUCGGAGUCGCUAGUAAUCGCAGAUCAGCAACGCUGCGGGAAUACGUUCCCGGGGCU